rnacentral:tRNA from 1 species
GGUGACGUUGCCGAGUGGUUAAGGCUAUUGACUUGAAAUCUUUUGGGAGUUUCCCUUGAAGGUUCGAAUCAUGCCGACUA